UACGUAGGGUGCAAGCGUUAAUCGGAAUUACUGGGCGUAAAGCGUGCGCAGGCGGUUUUGUAAGUCUGUCGUGAAAGCCCCGGGCUCAACCUGGGAAUUGCGAUGGAGACUGCAAGGCUUGAAUCUGGCAGAGGGGGGUAGAAUUCCACGUGUAGCAGUGAAAUGCGUAGAGAUGUGGAGGAACACCGAUGGCGAAGGCAGCCCCCUGGGCUAACACUGACGCACAGGCACGAAAGCGUGGGGAGCAAACAGG
rnacentral:rRNA from 1 species